UACAGAGGUCUCAAGCGUUGUUCGGAUUCAUUGGGCGUAAAGGGUGCGUAGGCGGCGCGGUAAGUCGGGUGUGAAAUCUCGGGGCUUAACUCCGAAACUGCAUUCGAUACUACCGUGCUUGAGGACUGGAGAGGAGACUGGAAUUUACGGUGUAGCGGUGAAAUGCGUAGAUAUCGUAAGGAAGACCAGUGGCGAAGGCGGGUCUCUGGGCAAUUCCUGACGCUGAGGCGCGAAAGCGUGGGGAGCAAACGGG
rnacentral:rRNA from 1 species